rnacentral:tRNA from 1 species
GAAGGUACAGCUCAGUGGUAGAGCACAUGCUUAGCAUGCACGAGGCCCUGGGUUCAAUCCGUAGUACCUCCU